UACCAGCUCUCCGAGUGGUAGGGAUGAUUAUUGGGCUUAAAGCGUCCGUAGCCGGCUUAGCAAGUUUCCUGUUGAAUUCAGCGACCUAAUCGUUGAGCCGCGGGAAAUACUACUAGGCUAGGAGGCGGGAGAGGUCGACGGUACUUCUGGGGUAGGGGUGAGAUCCUAUAAUCCCGGGAGGACCACCAGUGGCGAAGGCUGUCGACUAGAACGCGCUCGACGGUGAGGGACGAAAGCUGGGGGAGCGAACCGGAUUAGAUACCCGGGUAGUCCCAGCUGUAAACGAUGCGGGCUAGGUGUUGGGGUGGCUACGUGCCACUUCAGUGCCGCAGGGAAGCCAUUAAGCCCGCCGCCUGGGGAGUACGGCCGCAAGGCUGAAACUUAAAGGAAUUGGCGGGGAGCACCACAAGGCGUGAAGCUUGCGGUUC
rnacentral:rRNA from 1 species